rnacentral:rRNA from 1 species
UACGGGGGGAGCAAGCGUUGUUCGGAUUUAUUGGGCGUAAAGAGCUCGUAGGCGGUUUGUCGCGUCUGCCGUGAAAGUCCGGGGCUCAACUCCGGAUCUGCGGUGGGUACGGGCAGACUAGAGGUAGGUAGGGGAGAAUGGAAUUCCCGGUGUAGCGGUGAAAUGCGCAGAUAUCGGGAGGAACACCGGUGGCGAAGGCGGUUCUCUGGAACGGUACUGACGCUGAGACGCGAAAGCGUGGGGAGCGAACAGG